AAGAAACAGAGCAGUCCAUGUGCGAACUCGGCUAACUCUUCUCUCUCUCCCUCUAUCUCUUCCCUCUCUCUCGAAGCGAAUCUGUAGCAAAUCGAAAGGGACCAACGGAUGGAAAAGUUUCGACCGGCCAACGGAACCAUACCUAACGGAAGGUAAGGGUACUCUACUUUAUUAAUUUUAUAAUUUUUUUUUAACCAAAUGAAAUCUAGGGUUUAUUUGGGGGUUUCCAAAUACAUAUAUAUAGGAUUUCUUUCUAAAGCGAACCAACUGUGCGAACUAUAAACGAAUUGGGGAAAAACAGGCGCGGGUUAUAGGCUUGUUGGGUGAGUUGUAAAAUGGGUCAAAUUAAUUACAAAACACAACCCAUUUUACAUCAGAUGAACCAUCGACUUCUCUCUCUAACCUGUCAUCUCUCUCUCGCUACGAAUCUGUAGCAAACGGAAGGGAAGAUUCCUACAAAGCUCCGGCCCAUCUCUCUCUCUAAUUUUUGUUUGUCGCGAAAGAAAUCUAGGGUUUGUUCCCUUUUCCCCUAUGUUUGAUUUCUCCUUGUUAUGUUGGGUGUAAUUUUUUAUCCCUUUUCCCCUGUGUUUGAUUUCUCCUUGUUUUGUUGGGUGUAAUUUUUUAUCCCUUUUCCCCUAGAAAUAAAUAAUGGGUUCAGACAAGUUUGUGCCAGUUAACUUUUGCAGCAGUUUGUCUGAUGGACUUCCAGAUAUGGGAAGCUUUGAGUUUUCUGUAGAAACAAUUAUUCCAAAGCAUAGAGUCCUGCGCACUGGAGUUGAAAGUCCUAGAAUAAUCAAAGUGAUCUCACAUGUGUGUAGUUUUUUGGGAGUUCAGAAGCACAGCUGCAUAUUUGGUUAAACAAAGUAUCAACCUGAUGCAAUGAGUCCUUGAUGAUUACCUUUUCUAGCCCACUUGAUUUCUAAUCUUAAUUUAUUGUGCCUAAUUAUAUGGAUUAUUUUUAAUAUGGAUUAUUCUUAAAAGUAUUGUGACUUAUGUUUGCCAUUUUUAUCGAACUCUAGCAAGUUACAUGUGUUGAUUGAAGUUUAAAACCUCUAUUUGAGACGUGGUUCUGACUUCUUUUAUGGGUUCUUUAUAUAAUUUAUAAUCAAUUUGUUCAUUGUUUUUCUGUUUACAUUUUUCCAUUAUCUACGGAAACUUGAAGCCUAAUUUGGGACUACUUUUAUUACAUUACCGGGGAUGCAUGUGAUUUCUUAUUCGCUUCUGGGUAAUUGAGCCAUAUGGGUUGAUUUGAUUUGGUGAAUGAUUGUACUAAAAAAAAUUCCUUCAAAUUUUCUUAAUUGAUUGGUUUUUAGAAAUGGAAUUCCUUUUGUUUUCUUAUUUGUAUGCUUAAAUGAUCUUCAUGUGUUUUUAGGAGGAUUAUAGCAGGAGUAAGUUUAUAAUCAUAAUUUUGGGAGGAGUGUUUUUAAGGUAUUUUUGUUAGUGGUGUUUUUAAGGUAUUUUUGUUAGUGGUGUUUGACGAGCAUUAUGGUGUUUGGAAUGUUUUUGUCUCUCAUGGUUGCUUGGCACCCGUUAACAUUAAGAUGGAGUUAAAUUUUGGAGGUGUCAAUUUCUCGAGCAAUUUUGGCAAAUAUGUUUCACCAAUAUUUAAGUCAUCUGUUUUUUGUGAUGUUUUAUUUGGAGGCUAAUUAUUUUCUUACUGUCGUUUAUUGCACGUUGUGACUAGAUUUUACUUCUGCAAACAUUUUGGAAUGCUUGCAUACGAGGAUUCUUGAAAAUUUUGUUUGAAUUCUGCAGAACAUGUUAUAAGAGUGCUUAAUGAGGCAUCUAACUUUUUCCACAGGAAAAUUUUUGCAAUUAAGAGUGGUUAGUUAUUUACAUUUUCAGUAAAUAUUUAUGAAUGUUACAUAGAUAGCAUUAUAAUCACUCGGCAGGUUCCUCAAAUGUAGUAUUAUAUUCAUCCUUUGCUUAGUAUUAUAAUCAAUGUCUUUUCCCCCAUCUUACGUUUAUAUGCACGUCUUCACUAGCCAGCUUGUGGGCAUCAUUAGUGCAGUGACAGUUACCUCUUCUAAGUAAGUUGAUUUCUUAUAUGAUCAAAUUGGUGAGUUGUGUGCAUAUUUAGUUUUUCUUUGAAUACUAUAGCCCUUUUUUGCCUCUUUCUUUUCUGUCAAACUCGAAAGGGCAUCUGCUAUUGAACUCUAUAAAGUUACUGCAUGCAUGUGCGGGUUAACCUGUUCUAUCAAGGAGAAUAGUGACUCAAUUACAACUUGCUUCUAAAAUUUGACAUCCAUUAGUGGUAUUGUGUAAAGCAUGUGAUAUUUUUUAUAAAAAAUUAACCUUUUUUUAUUUAAUUUUUGUUGUGAUGUGUUUGAAAGUUUUUUGUGGAGUCUCCUAAUUACUGAUCAUCAAUUAUCACUGUGGUAAUUCUAAAUUUACUGUUUCAGGGAUGAAUCAUUGCUAUGUCAGGGAGAUGACUUGCACCGAUUACUAGCUAAGAAUGAAGCACUUAUUUCUGGCAUUGCAAAAGUCUACACCUUCAAGCAAGAAGCCAGAAGUAUGGAAAGUCCCUAGGAAUUCAAGAGUUUGCAAAGAAGCAGCGAGUGUUUUCAUGGAAUUGUACCGACCCUUUUCCCAAAUUUUUUUUAUGUAAAAGGCCUUGCACCAUUGCCUUAAGUUAUCUGGCAGUUGCCAAAGGAAAGCUGGCCAUUUUCCUAAGGUGUUUAGAGAUUUUCUUUGUUACAAAUUACACUACAUAAAUACAACAUAACAGAAUAUCUUCCUACAUCAAAGCUACGUGCAGUAGAAAGUUUUUGACAUCAAUGUAGUCACUUUGUAUUUCAACCAAUGGGAAUUGUGCUGCUGGUAAUUGAAAAACUAUCAUGGAAUCUCAAUAUCUAACCUCAGCAUCUAAUGCUCCAUGUUAGAUAGUGCUUUUAAGACUCAUCAAUACAUUAUUCUUCCAAGAUUCUAAUUUACCUUCUUUUAAGCUUGUCUGUGGCGUACCAAUGUGCUUUAUAUGUAUGUAUUUCACUUGUAGAGGGUGUCCUCGGGCACACUCCUUUUCCUUUAG
rnacentral:lncRNA from 1 species